GGAGUCGGCCGGACAGUCGCGUCGCACGCAAGUGCAUCGAGGAAAGUCCGGGCUCCGCAGGGCAGAGUGCCAGGUAACUCCUGGGCAGCGUGAGCUGACGGCCAGUGCAACAGAGAGCAGACCGCCGAUGGCCUCGCAAGAGGAUCAGGCAAGGGUGAAAGGGUGCGGUAAGAGCGCA
rnacentral:RNase_P_RNA from 1 species